rnacentral:rRNA from 1 species
UAAUACGGAGGGUCCGAGCGAUAUCCGGAAUCAUUGGGUUUAAAGGGUCCGUAGGCGGGCGUCUAAGUCAGUGGUGAAAUCUUACGGCUCAACCGUAAAAUUGCCAUUGAUACUGGAUGUCUUGAAUUAGUGUGAAGUGGUUAGAAUGUGUAGUGUAGCGGUGAAAUGCAUAGAUAUUACACAGAAUACCAAUUGCGAAGGCAGAUCACUAACACUAUAUUGACGCUGAGGGACGAAAGCGUGGGGAGCGAACAGGAUUAGAUACCCUGGUAGUCCACGCCGUAAACGAUGGAUACUAGCUGUUCGUUUCGCCUAGUGCGAGAUGAGUGGCUAAGCGAAAGUGAUAAGUAUCCCACCUGGGGAGUACGUUCGCAAGAAUG